rnacentral:lncRNA from 1 species
AUAAGCUCCUCACUAAGUGAAGUGAGGAUUAAGCAGUUGGCUUGUAAGUCAUCUUCAUAGUGUCUAACAUAAUUUUGACACUCCUCAUUUGAAGCUAGUUUCGUAGGAGGUACAUGAGGAGGGGAUUGCUUAAGCACAUACAAUAUGUCUUUCACCUUUGAGACAUUCUCAAUGUGGCGAUACCAAGCAAGGAAACAUUGGCCCCUAAGGCCCCUUUUGUCAAGUAUAAUGGUGGGUAUUAUUUUAGGCAUGUCGUUAACUACAUAACAUAAUAGAAAUCGUAUUAGAUUGUUUGUUUUAAAACUACUUGAUUGGGUCUUAAAUCAAAUAGUACCACCCACUAUUUUUUGGCAAAUUCCACAUCCCUCAAUGGAAUUCGAGAGUUAUUUUGAACUCUAAGUGGGGUAUGGGAGACUCACCAUUACCAAUCCCACCUCACGAUGAUACGAUGUUGGUUAGCAAAAAUAAUGAUGAGAAAAUAACGCUUUAUUCAUUUACAACUUUUGUAAUUACCCAUCUAGUUUGGCCUCUAGAGAAUGUUGCCUCACGAUGAUACGAUGUCGGCACCAUUGCACUUAGUUAAGUUAUUCCCACCAUGCUUAGUUCAUGUAGGGGUUCAAGAAUAGCCUCACGAUGAUACGAUGUCGGCCAUCCUCGUUGCCUACACUCACUUCAUCAUAUGUUUAUGGACUCCUCCUGGAUGUAAGCACAUACUUUGAACUUCCCCAUGAUAGGGUGAAGCCGGUGUAGGAGUCACAAACGAUUGGAGCCAACCACGGUGGAAGGCCUACGAAGAGAUGUUCAAAACAUCUCUCGCUUAUCAACUUAAUAUUCGUUUUGUUGAGGGAGUAGUGUUGGGCUACAUCAAAAUCAUUUUAAUCUUAUUAAAAGAAUUUGGGCCUAUCACAACUAUUGGUCCAAGUUUAUAUAAAUUAGUAGCAUAUAAUACUCCCACUGUUUCGUUGAAACAAGCGAGACUAUAUGGAACUACUAACGGAUGCAUUGCAUCCUCAUAUGGACUAUAUAGUCAUAUUAGCUUUUAGGAUGAUUAUGAACCGUUUGAUUUGAUCCAACACGAGCCUUGUGUUGGACCUUGGGUUUAAGGUAGAUAGUUGUUGAUUUUAGUUACGCGUUUAAUCUAAUUAAACCGUUAUUUCCUAUUGGGCGUUGGACCCAACUAUUCCAAUUUGCAUACAUUUAAACAAAAAGGAAUACUUGAAAUAAAGAGAAGGGCUUAUGCCCUUUUACAACACAUAAGAUGGACUUAUGUCCAUUUACAACAAAUUGAAUUAAUCAAAUUACAUUCAAAUCUAAACUACUUAACCCAAACAUUCAUAAUGUAAAGCAGCCAAUCACAUAGCUCAAUUAUCGAGGUCUUUGGUUCAUAAUCACCCUUUUCUUAAUCAAUCACAUUAACUAAGAAAGCAACUUAAACAAUUGGUUUUCGGAUUCAUAGAAUUGAUUUAAAUGGAACUAAAUAAAAUGAAAAUCCAAUUCUCAUUUAAAGAGACAAAACCAUUUUGUUCUCAUUUAAUUUGGGCCAAAACCAAUGACCACAACAAUUGGGCCAUUAUUUAAUAAACAAAAACUUUUGGGGGUCACUUUGUAAAAACACAAGAGUCCACAGCUUCAUGUAAUUACAACUAGAACCCAAAAUUUUAAUAAUUCCUAAAACUUCAUUAAAGGAACAAAACAAUUUGUCCUUUAGUGAUUUUGGACCUUUACGCAAAAAUACGUAAACUUUUGGGCCAAAAUUCAAAAACACAAAAGUAUCAAAACUUUAUGUAAUUGCACAAAAGGCCCAAAAAUACCCUAUUGUAAAGGUUGGCCGGCCAUGAGAGAACAAGUGAAAAGAAAAUUUUUUCACUUGAUUUGGUAGGUGAGAUAAAGGUGAUUCAGAUGGUUUGUAAGAAAAUGUUUUGUAAAACAUUAAAGGCAUUAAACAUGUUUCACCAAUAAACAUCACCCAUCAAUUAUAUACCAAAACUUUAUGAAAAAACAUAAAACUUUUGAAUCAAAACUUCAAAACUUUUUGUUCUUGGCAAGAACUUCAAGAACAUUGAAGAACACUCAUGAAAACUCAAAAAUAGCUCCAUGAAUGUUUUCACUCACCAAAACUCAAAUUUUCACUACUCAAAAGAGGGUUAAUAUCCUAGGGUACUUAGGGGUUCCAAAAGUCACUUUAAAACUCUUUUAACAAGACAAACAUGAACCCAAAAAAUCACCCAUUGGAUUUGGCCGAAUUUCCCAACAAACAUGGCACCAAAUUUUAGUUCCAAUAUUCAUGCUUAAAUGAAAUACAUCUACAACAUUUGAGAUGCUAAAUUUUCAAGCAAAAUUUAUAUUCAAACCAAGAACAAAGCUUGUAACAUUUACAACAUUUAAAUCACAAAUCAUGAAAAAUCACAAAACCCAAAAGGAUUCACCAUAAACUAGGCCUAGGCUCUGAUACCACUUGAAGGAAAAAAUUUGUCCUAGCUAAGAACAAGUAAGAACAUUUGAAUACAUAUGCAAACUAUUAACACAUUAAAGUAGGCAUGCAUCCAAAAACAAUUCAUAAAACCCAUGACUUUCAAAGCCUAGUAUAUGGUGAACCAAUAAACUCUUUAACAACAUUAAAGAGAAGGAAAGAUUUAGAGUUUCUUUACCCUUGAAGCUCAUCCUUGAUUAAACAAGGGAUUCACCCAAGUGGAGGGCCUUCAAGUCACCUCCUUGCUUCUUGGAUCUUCCUUGUGAUUUUCCUCCUUUUAGUGCUCCUUUGCUUCUUUGAGGAUUUGAGGAUUUGUUCUCCAAAACAUCAAAAACUUGAUGUCUCUAAGUCUCUUCACCAAGGAUGUGAUGUGAAGAUGAAAUGGAUGACUUAGGGAAGAAGAGAUUGCUAGCUAUUCCUUCCCUAGGUGGCCGGCCUCUUUUGAGAAAAUGAGAGAAAAUGUUUCACCUCAUUUCACCAAGAAAAA